rnacentral:rRNA from 1 species
GACGAACGCUGGCGGCGUGCUUAACACAUGCAAGUCGAACGGAAAGGCCUCUUUCGGGGGGUACUCGAGUGGCGAACGGGUGAGUAACACGUGAGUAACCUGCCCUUGACUUUGGGAUAACUUCAGGAAACUGGGGCUAAUACCGGAUAGGAGCUCCUGCUGCAUGGUGGGGGUUGGAAAGUUUCGGCGGUUGGGGAUGGACUCGCGGCUUAUCAGCUUGUUGGUGGGGUAGUGGCUUACCAAGGCUUUGACGGGUAGCCGGCCUGAGAGGGUGACCGGCCACAUUGGGACUGAGAUACGGCCCAGACUCCUACGGGAGGCAGCAGUGGGGAAUAUUGCACAAUGGGUGGAAGCCUGAUGCAGCAACGCCGUGUGCGGGAGGACGGCCUUCGGGUUGUAAACCACUUUCGCUCAUGACGAAGCUUUGUGUGACGGUAGUGGGUAAAGAAGCACCGGCUAACUACGUG